rnacentral:tRNA from 1 species
UAAGGAGUAGUAUAAUAUGGAAGUGCGGAGGGUUUUGAUCUCUUAGGUAUAGGUUCGAUUCCUAUUUUCUUAA